GAUGAACGCUGGCGGCGUGCCUAAUACAUGCAAGUCGAGCGAACGGACGAGAAGCUUGCUUCUCUGAUGUUAGCGGCGGACGGGUGAGUAACACGUGGAUAACCUACCUAUGAGACUGGGAUAACUUCGGGAAACCGGAGCUAAUACCGGAUAAUAUUUUGAACCGCAUGGUUCAAAAGUGAAAGACGGUCUUGCUGUCACUUAUAGAUGGAUCCGCGCUGCAUUAGCUAGUUGGUAAGGUAACGGCUUACCAAGGCAACGAUGCAUAGCAGACCUGAGAGGGUGAUCGGCCACACUGGAACUGAGACACGGUCCAGACUCCUACGGGAGGCAGCAGUAGGGAAUCUUCCGCAAUGGGCGAAAGCCUGACGGAGCAACGCCGCGUGAGUGAUGAAGGUCUUCGGAUCGUAAAACUCUGUUAUUAGGGAAGAACAUAUGUGUAAGUAACUGUGCACAUCUUGACGGUACCUAAUCAGAAAGCCACGGCUAACUACGUG
rnacentral:rRNA from 1 species